CGAGAGUUUGUAACACCCGAAGUCGGUGGGGUAACCUUUUUGGAGCCAGCCGCCUAAGGUGGGACAGAUGAUUGGGGUGAAGUCGUAACAAGGUAGCCGUAUCGGAAGGUGCGGCUGGAUCACCUCCUUU
rnacentral:rRNA from 1 species